rnacentral:lncRNA from 1 species
GCUGCUCAAUAGUAUAAGCUAAAAGCUUUAUUCUGAAAACUGAAUUAACUGACUUCCAUAAUCUGAAAUCUGAGAACUGAAUAAAUACUGAAAAAUCACACCAAAAAGAGUACCCAAUGAAUAGCCUUACUCAUGUACAGAGUAAUCUCGAUGUACAAGGCAAAGCCAUUCAAAUCUGAUAAUUUGGCAUACGUAUGCAGAGCUGCCCCAAAGGCUAAUCACCCUAGUACACGAGUGGGUCUCCAAGACCUCUGAUAAUCUGGUCAUAUACUAUGGAAACACAUUCACGAUAGUGCAGAGCGGGUAAAAUCACUAUAACUAGUCAUACACUGUGAAAACACAUUCACAUUAGUGCAAACUGAGGUAAAAUCACCUGGGUACUUUCUGGUGAUUUUUAGAAAUAACUUUAACUAUACUGAAACAUGUAAUAAGAAUAUAACAUGCUACUAAAAUAAUUUAACUGAACUGAAUUUAACUUUAAAAGCAAUUGAUAAUAAAAUCAAUUUUAUUCCGAAAAUCAUGCUAUGAAGUCAACUUUAUAAAAUAAAUAAAUUUUAAUUUUAAAGAAGUCUUAUUUCUGAAAAAUAAGUUUUAUCCACUUACAAGGUAUGAGCUACAAGCUAGAUUGGCUGAUAAACGUUUUCAAUUUCCUCGCCACCACCUGAAAUACGGUAUUAAUAACCAAUUUAUCCUCUAUCUAAUCAAGAAACCUUAAUAUCUAAUGAU